rnacentral:piRNA from 1 species
UUGGGGAAGACACGGACGGGGCCCAGACC